UACGUAGGUGGCAAGCGUUGUCCGGAUUUAUUGGGCGUAAAGCGCGCGCAGGCGGUCCUUUAAGUCUGAUGUGAAAUCUUGCGGCUCAACCGCAAGCGGUCAUUGGAAACUGGGGGACUUGAGUACAGAAGAGGAAAGCGGAAUUCCACGUGUAGCGGUGAAAUGCGUAGAGAUGUGGAGGAACACCAGUGGCGAAGGCGAUCAUCUGGCCCAAUACUGACGCUGAGGCGCGAAAGCUAGGGGAGCGAACAGG
rnacentral:rRNA from 1 species